rnacentral:lncRNA from 1 species
CCCCAUCGCUCACUCCACUCUCGAAAACACCUUCCGAAUAUCCUUGCACAUUGCCGGAGAUCGAAGCUCGCCGGAGACGAAGACGACGUCGGAACUCGGUCCAGGCUCAAAUCGUCUUGAUCGGAUAAUCUUCGUUGGUCCAAGUUUCUCAAUCUUUACUCGUGCAUUAUUUUACAAGAAACGCAACGCAAUCAAGCAACUUGAACAAUGUUGAAAAGUGGUUGCUAGUCAAGAUGAUCAAGAAACAAGCUAGGAUGGCUUUAGAUACCCAUUUUAGCAGUUAAACAAUGUUUGAAUAUAUGUUUACUAUUU